ACCCUUCCUGCUUUCCAAACAGAGUUCUUCUUCUUCCAUACAUCACACAAAAUCUCUCAAAAUCGAAAUCGCAGAACUCAAAUUAGUCAUGGGGGAUUUCGUUUUCUACUUCUUUGACUAUCUUGAGACCUUUUCUCCAGUCUCAAUCUUCAUAUUCGAUAGGUUCUUCACCAUGUAAUAGGCUUCACAGCUAGCAGUAAGAGUUUUCGUUGAAGGAUGUAGACUUGUAAUGGAUUCGUGAAGAAUUUUGAUGUAGCGAAAGUCAAAGCUUAGAGAAAUUGAAGGUAAUCUUCGGCUGAACCUAAGUUUAAUUCGAUCUCUAUAACAAGUUUCAGUAAACGAAGUUCUUAUCUUUUUUGAAUCUAUGGUGAAUUGGUAAGAAGAGAAUUCAUAAGAAUUUGACCGCUACACUUGGUUCUUUUAAUCUGAAUUUUCUUCCUUUUGUUUGUCUAAAAUGAGCAAUGAUGUCUUUGGAUAAGAGUUGUUGUAAAGAAUGAAUUGAAUGAUCUAUACAAUGUUCUUGAGAAUCUACAUUAUGUGUAAGUUAUUAUAGUCUUUGCUAUGUCAAUUCUUGUUCUGCAAUCUGUAACCAAUUCUUGAUACGAUUAGAAGUUAUGAGAAGAUUAAUCCCCCA